CGUUAAUUAGUACUCUGAGUGGCUGUUAGCUGGCUUGAGAGCAUGUGCUCGUCCAUCAUCUUUAUAUUCUCCACCUGUGCACAUUUUGUAGACUUGGAUAAUGGCUCUGUCAUUUACAAGACUAUGUUUUCAAUAUACCCAAAGCAUGUUUAAAGAAUGUCAUCAAUAGGAACUUGGUUUCCUAUUAGAAACUAUACAACUUUCAGCAACGGAUCUCUUGGCUCUCGCAUCGAUGAAGAACGCAGCGAAAUGCGUUAAGUAAUGUGAAUUGCAGAAUUCAGUGAAUCAUCGAAUCUUUGAACGCACCUUGCGCUCCUUGGUAUUCCGAGGAGCAUGCCUGUUUGAGUGUCAUUAAAUUCUCAACCUUUCCAUUAAUUUAAUUUGGUUUGGAUGGGAUGUGGGGGUUGCACGUUUCAUUAGAAUAUGAGGUCUCCUCUCCUGAAAUGCAGUAACGGAACUUGUGCUGACCUUGUAUUGAUGUCAUAUCUAUCUGCGCUGGGGAUGCGAAGCACAGCUCCUCUUCUACCCGUAUAGAAUUGACUUGACUUGACCAUCUGACCUCAAGUCAGACAAGACUACCCGCUGAACUUUAUCAUAUCACUAAGGGGAGGAAACUAACCUAGCAACGACUACCCUAUGAACUGGAAGCGAAACGAGAACAGCUCAAAUAUCAGAUCUGCUAUGCUUGGCCUAGCCGAAUUCUAAACUAGAAAAAUCUUAUCCGCACUGGACAGAGGUCAACCUGGCCUGG
rnacentral:rRNA from 1 species